rnacentral:tRNA from 2 species
GCAUCCGUAGCUCAAUUGGCAGAGCAGGGGACUCUUAAUCCCAAGGUUGUAGGUUCGAUUCCUACCGGAUGCA